rnacentral:lncRNA from 1 species
GUCAUCGACCACCGCCGAUGCAGAGAGCGUGGGUGACAGACGAGACGGCGGCAGGUGGUCGGGGCUCGCCGGUGUGCCGUGCCCGAUCUCUUUCCGCCGCCUACGUAGCGCUUCAGAUCUGAGGUGCUGCUGCCCCUCUGUAAUGAUCCCGCUGACUCGGGCUUGGAGUCCGGUAGUGGGAGACGACGGCGUGGUAGCGUGUUGGUGGCGAGACGACGCAAGAGGCGUCGCACCGGCGGUGGUCUCGCGCGGCGGACCUGCGCGCUCGCGG